rnacentral:tRNA from 1 species
CUGAGGCUAGUUAAAAUAAUAAUAAUAAGUGCUUUGGGAGCACUAGUUCCUUUGUGGGCUUUAGA